rnacentral:lncRNA from 1 species
UCAACGCCAACAUCCUUUAGUGUCACGGCACGAGGCUUAUGAGCGAACUGGUCUUUCCUAAUUGGGUCAGGAAUGACAUCCUGUUUGUCAAACUCUUGGACGUGAGCGAGUUUCCUAAACCACGACCUAUUAGCCAACCUGUCCGCUUCAUUUAUAACUCUAUCCGGAUCUUCAACCUCUGGAACAGUCUCUCUUGUCUUCUUGUUGACACGUACGCUCGGGUUUUCGUGGAGGUGGAGAUACGCUGUGUAGAGUCCAAACGACACCGACAAUGAAAUCAUCCCUAUGGAGACAUAGACUGGCGUGAAAUCACCUUUUGUCCCCGUCGUAGUAGUAGCUGCUCGUCUCUGACCACCGUACUCUGCCGUUGGAGAGUAGGCCUUGGAUUUUGGUGUAGACGCCGUAGCGUAAGACCUUAGCCUUUGCACCAUGCUUUUCAAGUGAGUACCCUUCAACAUCAAAUGACAAAAAGUCAAAAAGUCAAACCGUGAGGCCAAAUAAAUCUUGAUGCGUACAUUACAAAUAUUUGAUGUCAAGAAGUAUUAAGUACUUACUGUUGAUCGGACCGCCAUAGCUGGUUCUCGGAGAUGGAUCUGUUAAGUAAGUGAGAUCAAGCUGAAGAAAACGACCAGGACGCGUCUUUGAUUUAGUUCUUGUUUAGUAUACUUGUUUCGGAUGAUACUUGGAGUGUUAAGAUCGUAUAAUAUAAAGGAAGAUAGAGACAUCUGGAGUGGAGCUGAGAAGAUAAAUGUAGAAGGUUACAAAUACACGUGUCUGCAUGCAAGAACAUGCAGUCUAAUCCGUGGAAGUCUCUUGAAGAUCCACGUCCCAUCAUACUCCUUUUAUCAUGUUGGGAUUUUCACUUCAUAAUAUUUUAAUAAUCAUAAGAUUAAAUACGUGUUUAAGAUUUAAUAAACAUAAGAUUAAUAUAAUAUUGUUAGGAUAAGAAGCAAAUUUACAGCCGCCCAAACUAACAUUUGCUUGAAAAAUGAACCGAACCGAACCAAAGUUAAAAUAGAACCGUAAUUUUACUCAAUUGACACGAGUCUUGAUCAUGAACACAUCAACUACCAGCAGACAUAUCACAGUAACGGCUUGUUUCUGUUAGUGACAACUCUACUAUGGGCCUUGACAAUAUCAUUCACCAAGCCCAAGCCCUUUCUGUGAGUCAACUGCAGUCCAACCAACGUCUCUCUGUUUCAAAUAACAGAGACAAGGAACAGAGUACGGCAAAGUUAGGAAAGCGACUGGAAAACCGUUUCCUUCCACUCCUAUCGAUUUGUCUUGACUGAGCUCCUUGACAGCUAUGUAGAUAAGAUUAAGAGCUGUAAAGAUAAUAGUCUCUAGAUCCUUCUAGCUCUUCUAUUUAAGAACUUGUAAAACCCUAAAGUUUAGUAUGCAAAAUAAUACAGAAAGUUUCAGUCUUGGGUCUGUUUUGUGAACUUUAAUAUGGUAUCAGAGCCAUUGUGAACCUUAACAGGUGCUUCAAUGGCGGGUAACCAAAAUCUUUACCCUUUUCCCAACAAUGUCCAUAUCCUUCACUCAGUCACGUUAAAGCUCAAUGAUAGCAACUAUCUACUGUGGAAGACACAGAUCGAGUCCCUUCUCUCCAGUCAAAAGCUCAUCGGUUUCGUCAAUGGUGCUGUAGCCGCACCACCACCAACACGUACGGUUACUCAAGGUGAAGCUCAAGUCGUCGAGCCAAACCCACAGUUUGAAGCUUGGUUCUGUUCAGACCAACUUGUCAGAUCUUGGAUCUAUGGUACUCUUUCGGAAGAAGUUCUGGGAACGGUUCACACUCUCGCUACAUCUCACGAGGUCUGGGCCUCUCUGGCCGAAAACUUCAAUAAGAGCUCUCUUGCUCGGGAGUUUUCCUUACGCCGUAGUCUGCAGCUUCUCACCAAGAAAGACAAGACCUUGUCCGUUUACAGUCGCGAUUUUAAAAGCAUAUGUGAUUCUCUCAGUGCAAUAGGGAAACCAGUUAAAGAAUCCAUGAAGAUAUUCGGCUUUCUUAAUGGUCUCACAAGAGAUUAUGACCCUAUUGCAACUGUGAUUCAAAGCUCUCUCACAAAGCUUCCUCCCCCAACGUUCAAUGAUGUUGUCUCUGAAGUUCAGGGCUUUGACAGCAAACUUCAGUCUUAUGAAGAACAAGUUGCAGUAACUCCACAUCUUGCGUUCUCUACUCAACAAGCACCCCUCUCUCAAGAGUACAAGAACACUGCUCCAUCUUACAAUCCCAACUAUAGAGGAAGAGGUCGCUCUGGUUUCAACCGUGGAAGAGGAGGUUACUCAUCCCGAGGCCGUGGCUUCUAUCAACAUCAGACAACCACUGGAGGCUCUGGUGAACGUCCUACCUGCCAGAUCUGUGGACGCAUUGGCCACACAGCCUUGAAGUGUUAUAAUCGGUUUGAUAACAACUACCAAAGCCAUGCUGCCCUCACCUCUCUGCGUGUUGCUGAUGAGAACGGGAAUGAAUGGUAUCCAGACUCAGGUGCAUCAGCUCAUGUGACCUCAAACUCAACUCAACUUCGAAAUGUCCACCCUUAUGAAGGAAAUGACGCAGUCAUGGUUGGGGAUGGAGCCUACUUGCCUAUCACUCAUACUGGAUCGACUACCAUUUCUUCAGCCUCAGGUACUAUCCUUCUCUCAGAUGUUUUGGUAUGUCCUGAUAUAAAGAAGCCUUUACUCUCUGUAUCGAAACUUUGUGAUGAUCAGAACUGUGGAGUUUUCUUUGAUGCUCAUCAUGUAUAUAUCAUUGACUUACAAAAGCUGAAGGUGGUGGCAAAGGGUCCACGAAAUAAUGGCUUGUAUCAGUUGGAGAGUACAAAGAUGGAAGUGAACUUCUCAGACAGGCAUGUUGCAGCUUCAGAAGCAGUCUGGCACCAUCGUCUUGGUCACUCCAAUCAGCGGCUUCUCCAACAACUAAGUAGCAGUAAGGACAUCAUCAUCAAUAAGAGCAGAACUACCCCUAUUUGUGAGCCUUGCCAGAUGGGGAAGAGCAGUAGAUUUCAGUUUUUUUCUUCCUUUUCUAGUGUCUCAAAGCCCCUAGAUCGUUUACACUGUGAUCUAUGGGGUCCUUCUCCAAUUGUUUCCAACCAAGGUUUUAGAUACUAUGCUGUGAUUGUGGAUGAGUACUCUAGAUACUCUUGGUUGUAUCCAAUGAAAAAUAAAUCAGACUUCUUCUCCAUAUUUGUUGCUUUCAAGAGUUUGGUUGAAAAUCAGUUUACAACUAAAGUCGAAGAAUUUCAGAGUGAUGGGGGGGGAGAGUUUACAAGUAAUAAGUUCAGAGAGUUCUUACAAGCCAAUGGGAUUCAACAUCGGAUCUCUUGUCCUUAUACGCCUCAACAGAACGGUUUAGCUGAGCGCAAACACAGGCACAUCAUCGAGCUUGGUCUGGCCAUGAUGUUCCAGUCACAUCUUCCUCUGCAUCAUUGGGUCGAAGCCUUCUACACGGCGAGUUAUGUGGGUAAUCUCCUACCAACAGUUGAAGCAGAAAACGUCAAGAAGAGUCCUUUUGAGCUUCUCAUGGGAAGAAAGCCAAUCUAUUCUUCACUUCGAGCCUUUGGCUCAACCUGUUACCCCUGCUUAAGACCCCACACCAGCCACAAAUUUGAACCAAGAUCCUUGAAAUGUGUGUUCAUUGGUUACUCACCUCAAUACAAAGGAUAUCGCUGUCUUUACCCACCCACUGGGAAAGUGUAUAUCACAAGGCAUGCAGUGUUUGAUGAAGAUAACUUUCCCUUCAAGUCAGACUACAAAUCUUUUGUCCCUCGCUACAAGACUGAUCUUCUCAAAGCAUGGCAAUUGGCAACUGAAGCUCAAGAGGAACCAGUCCCUGAGAAUCAAAUAUCACGGUUCUUAACUCCUCCUUUUAGAGAUGAUGAUCAACCUGCACACGCUCCUCAAGCUGAAGCUCACAAUGAUCAUGUCGAGGUUGAAGUCAAUGCUCCACCUCAAGCCCCAGUUCAAGCCGCUGCUCCACAAGAAAAUCUCCACCCAAUGCAAACCAGAGGCAAGUCUGGCAUACACAAACCUAACACCCGUUAUGUACUACUUGCGCCGAAGUAUGACACCUCUAUACCGAAAAAUAUAGCUGAGGCAAUGGCUCAUCCUGGUUGGAACGGUGCUGUCUCAGAGGAGAUAGGAAACAUUCACAUGCUUCACACUUGGACAUUGGUUCCCUAUACUGAAGAUAUGAACGUUUUGAGCAGCAGGUGGAUCUUCACGGUUAAAUACAACCCCGAUGGAACUGUCAGGAAGCUCAAAGCACGUCUGGUGGUUAAAGGCUUUGAACAGGAGGAGGGCUUGGAUUAUUUAGAAACAUUCAGCCCUGUUGUCAGGACUGCAACGAUUCGGUUGGUCUUAAAUGUGGCUGUCUCUAAAGGAUGGAAAGUGAAACAGUUGGACGUCACAAGUGCUUUUCUUCACGGCGAGCUUCAGGAACCUGUCUACAUGUUCCAACCUGGUGGUUUUGUGGAUCCAGAAAGACCGAACCAUGUCUGCAAGCUCACAAAGGCCCUCUACGGUCUUAAACAAGCCCCACGGGCAUGGUUUGAUACCUUCAGCAACUUUCUCAUUGAUUUUGGAUUCAUGUGUAGUAAAUCUGAUCCCUCUCUUUUCACUUAUCACAAACAAGGCCAAACCCUAGUCCUGUUGCUUUAUGUAGACGAUAUACUGCUCACGGGUAAUGAUGAUGCUCUGCUACAACGGUUAAUGGAAACGCUUAACAGCAGUUUCUCGAUGAAAGAUCUUGGUGAACCUCACUACUUCUUGGGGAUCGAGUUAAAGUCUCAUUCUGAAGGAUUAUUCAUGCAUCAGAAAGCCUAUGCUGAAGAUAUUUUACAUCAAGCUGCGAUGAGUGAUUGCAAUCCGAUGCCAACUCCUCUUCCUCAACGCAUAGAACACCUGAACAAUGAUCCGUUCCCUGAGCCAACUUACUUUCGAAGCUUAGCAGGAAAGCUCCAAUAUCUUACUAUCACGAGACCCGACAUCCAAUACGCUGUGAAUUAUGUUUGUCAACGGAUGCACCUUCCCACCAUCUCUGACUUUGGUCUACUCAAGCGCAUUCUUAGAUAUAUCAAGGGCACGUUGGAGCUAGGACUACACCUAUAUAAGGACUCCUGCCUCACCCUCUCAGCCUUUUGUGAUAGUGACUGGGCAGGUUGCUCUGAAACUAGAAGGUCCACCACCGGCUUCUGUACACUGCUUGGUCCUAACCUGAUCUCAUGGUCCGCUAAACGUCAGCCAACUGUCUCACGGUCCUCUACAGAAGCGGAAUAUAGAGCUUUGGGAGCUACAGCUCAAGAGAUUGCCUGGAUAUCAUGUCUUCUCCGAGAUCUUAACAUCUCUCAGCCCAUGUCGACGCUGCUCCUCUGUGACAAUCUUUCUGCCGUCUAUCUCAGUACCAAUCCUGCUCUUCAAAACAGAUCAAAACAUUUUGAUACUGAUUAUCAUUAUAUAAGAGAACAUGUUGCUCUCGGGUUGAUUGAGACACGACAUAUCCCAGCAACGAGACAGACGGCUGAUAUCUUCACCAAAUCCUUGCCACGGAAGGCAUUCAUGGAGUUGAGGAGCAAACUUGGUGUAGCUGAACCUCCUCCAAGUUUGAGGGGGAAUGUUAGUGACAACUCUACUAUGGGCCUUGACAAUAUCAUUCACCAAGCCCAAGCCCUUUCUGUGAGUCAACUGCAGUCCAACCAACGUCUCUCUGUUUCAAAUAACAGAGACAAGGAACAGAGUACGGCAAAGUUAGGAAAGCGACUGGAGAACCGUUUCCUUCCACUCCUAUCGAUUUGUCUUGACUGAGCUCCUUGACAGCUAUGUAGAUAAGAUUAAGAGCUGUAAAGAUAAUAGUCUCUAGAUCCUUCUAGCUCUUCUAUUUAAGAACUUGUAAAACCCUAAAGUUUAGUAUGCAAAAUAAUACAGAAAGUUUCAGUCUUGGGUCUGUUUUGUGAACUUUAAUAGUUUCUGUUAUCUCACAUAUAAUCUAAAUAAACCUCAAGAGUCCACAAAAAGAUCUUUUGCGAACAACAAAAAAGAAUGACUAACUCCGAGAAAAUUUUCGUAUUUGGCUUUAAUCAAGAGCCAUAUUUUUUUUCAUAGCUUCAUAAACAAUAUACGUAAUGCUAGCCGCCGGAACCACUUUGAGAAGAUUCGGUAAUAGUCCUCUGUAGAAACCUCUCACACCUUCACCUCUCAAAGUAAACCACAUGUGGCGGAGAUGUCGAUAAAGCCAAAAUUAUUGAAUUUGACAGAGAAAAAACAUGCCAUGCAUCGGAAAUUUAUGAGUGUGGACAUUGGACAAUAUCAUAAACAACCCGGUUUAGCCGACUAUAUAGACUAAUCACCAGAGCCGGUCCGUGUAUUUACCGGGCUGGAAGCAGAACUAAGAAAAAGUGGCCUAUUUAUAUUUAAUUAUUUGUAAAAAAACUACUUUAAAAAAUGUCACUGCGUAGAGUCUCGAACCCUCACCUUCACAUAGCUCAAAUUUCACCAUUACCACUGGAGCUACUGGAUAAAUAUUGUAAAAAUGUGGCCGCUAAACUUGAUAAUUUAAUGACGGCUGGAAGCAGCCGCUUCUCCCGCUUACCUCCAAGGCCGGCUCUGCUAAUCACCGACUAACUAAUGCUUACGUAGCAAAGCCCUGAUUAUCAUGAGAUUCGUUAUUUACGUUAUAGAUAUAUAUGUUCUUUUUUUGGAUCAAAAGUUAUAGAUAUAUGUUCUAGCACACACAUUAUCUAUAGAAUUGUAAAGCUAAACGACUACUAUAAGCAUCUUCUUGAAAGAUAAAUGGAGUUGAUGGGUUUAAGAUUCUUUCAGUUUUUUGAAAAAAUCUUAAACCUCAUCAACUUCAUUUAUCUUUCAAGAAGAUGCUAUAGUAGUCAUUAGGAAAUACAAAAUGAAAGAUGCAACUCUAUCUGGUGUGUUUUGGGGUUGGACCACUGUAUUGAGAACAUAUAUACGCCUAACAUUCUCCCGAUAUUCCAUAUGAUAUUUAACCUUGUCAAUAUACAAUAACUUAGAAAGAACAUUCUGUGAUAUACGCAUAAUAUGCUUAUAAUUUUAUUUUAAUAUCCAUUUACUGUGUAAUGAGUAAUUAAUUAGAAAAAAAUGAGUAAUUAAUUAGACCCACUAUUUGCUUCACACAGGUUGAUAUCAUGAUCGCUUCACCGUUGUAAAUUUCAAGGACGUGAGUUCCGCAACCGGCCCCGUCACCGUUAUCAACCACGAUUCACAAGCCGACACGAUGGUAGCACCACCGAUCACCACGUGUGAUCCAACCAUACGACCUUGCUUACUGACGCGUGGCCCACUACCUCGUACCCGUACAUGUGCGCCGCUUCUCCUCCUACUAGGUUUAACGGUCUCUCUCACGGUUGCAAAUCCUUCAUGCGAGUCCUCUGUUUCAAUGGUGAGAAACUGUAAGCAACUGUGGAAAAUUUUAGACAGGAAAGUGAGUGUUCCCCGCCGUAGGAUUACAACUUCACCGAGGUAAAAAAAUAUAUAUAUCUGAUUUUGACUUUUCAAAUUUGUCCUGCAUCUUUUAAUGAGCUGAUGUCAUUUUAUAUAAUGUUUUUGAUCAGGACAGUAACAUAACUCAAACUGAAUUACCAGAUAAGACAAUGGAAGCUAAGUGUUUGCAAAGCAUGUUUGAGUUGAUUGAUUCUGGAUUCUUCAAUGAAACUAAGGUGGUGCCUUGUUACUUCUUAGUCACAAUAAAUAAAUUUACAAAUCCACUUAGGAAUAUUUAAUGGAAAACAAGACCAAUGUUUUGUACUAAUGAUUCAAAGUCUUAACACUUUGAUUUUGGUAUAAACCAUACUUCUGAGUAAAAAAAUUGAUUGUUUUGGGGUUAUAUACAGAUUCAGGAGAUUGCUAAUGGGGCCACUGAAAUGAACCUUCCUAUAUAUAGAACCAACCGGAAACUCGUGGCUACUAAUAAUGGCGGUUUGGAAAAUCCAUCCCCUCUGGUGUUUAAUGCGUCUUGGAACAGGGAAGUUCCACGAGCACAAGCCAAAAGAUUCAACUAUCCUUCAAUAUCUAGAGUACGACUUCCUAGAGAUGAAGAAGAUAUUGCAUUCAUGAGCGUUAGUCAUCUGCCUUUUUUUUAUAUUGUUGUUAUUAUAGUAGAUGGAUAGUUUCUGUAUGAUUAGAGAAUGCUUCUUGGCAGGUUCUUGAACUCGGAGAACUUAUAAAGACCAAACAAGUUACUUCCAAGGAACUCGUUCGGAUUUAUCUCACGCGGUUAAAACGGUAUGGGAGCGUCUGUUCUCCGCUGAGUGUUUUUGUAGGGAAGUUUUAUCUGUUCUGAUGUUGUUAGUGGGGAUUCUUGAAGGUAUAAUCAUGUUCUUGAAUCGGUGGUUACUUACACUGAAGAAUUAGCAUACAAACAAGCCAAAGAAGCUGAUGAUUUGCUCUCUCAGGGAACUUAUCUCGGUAUGUUUUCCUCACUGGUAGAUUUGUUUGAUGGAUUGUUGAAUAUUUAACGUUUCAAGAUUCUGAUUAAUAUUUUCUUUGUGCGUUAUAGGACCUCUUCACGGGAUUCCAUAUGGUUUGAAGGAUAUAAUUGCGGUCCCCGGGUACAAAACUACGUGGGGUUCAACUUCUUUUAAAGACCAAAUUCUUGAUAUUGAAGCAUGGGUUUACAAAAGGUAAAAAAAUUCACCACGUCCACUGUUUUUUUUUUUUUUGCGUGUAUUAAUUAUAAUGGAGCUCACUUGACAACAUCGUUCGGACGUUUUGUUUGUUUGUUUGUGUGUUUAGAUUAAAAGCUUCAGGUGCAGUUUUAGUAGCAAAGCUUGUAACUGGUUCUCUAGCUUAUGAUGACAUCUGGUUCGGGGGACGGACUAGGAACCCGUGGAAUAUAGAGGAGUUCUCUACCGGUUCAUCAGCUGGACCUGCUGCUUCCACAUCAGCUGGUUAGUUUUUUUUUUAAAUAGAAAAUGAAUCAAAAUUACGUUAAUAAACUGUUUCUCUCCUAAUUAUUUGUGUUAAACUUUUGUUCAGGUAUGGUUCCGUUUGCCAUAGGCUCAGAGACAGCAGGCUCAAUGACAUACCCUGCAGCUAGGUGUGGCGUUACAGCAUUUCGUCCCACAUUUGGUAGCGUUGGUAGAACCGGAGUGAUGAGCUUAUCCGAGAGUCUGGUAUGGCAAACUAGCAUAUGCCUUAAACUCGCUUCUUGAGUAACAUUAGUAAAUGCAACUCCUCUUGUCACAGGAUAAGCUUGGACCUUUCUGUAGAACAGCGGCAGAUUGCGCUGUAGUUCUUGACGCUAUAAAAGGGAAAGAUCCAGAGGAUCUCUCAUCAAGAGAGAUUGCGUUUGAAGAUCCAUUCUCAGUAGAUAUCACGAAACUCACUGUUGGCUACACCAAAGAUGCUGAUAUGAAGGUAAACAAAUAGUUAAAUGAUGUUUGUAUUCAGAACAACCAUGGUUCAGAACAACCAUGUUUGUGUUAAUUCAACAUGUGACAUGUGUAGGUUGUGGAAGUUCUUGGGUCGAAAGGUGUCAAUAUGGUUCCUUUCGAACUAAACUAUACAGUGGAUUCUGUUCAAGGGAUAUUGAACUUCACAAUGAACGUAGACAUGUUAGCUCAUUUUGAUGAAUGGCAAAGAACAGGUCAAGAGGAUCUCUACGAAGCUCAGGAUCAGUGGCCGGUUGAGUUGCGCCGUGCUCGUGUAGUUACAGCUGUUGAUUACAUUCAGGUUUUGCUCAUUUUCAUUUUGAGUUUAUAUUUCGGUUGGUUAUGUCCGGUUAAUUUAUAUAUCUGGUUACUAGUUUAGGCACAGAGAGCUCGUGGUAAGUUGAUUAGAGAAGUGGAGAAGAGCUUUACAGUAGAUGCGUUUAUUGGAAACGUGACCGAUUGGGAGAAAGUCUGCAUGGGAAACCUUGUUGGUUUGCCAGUUCUAGUGAUUCCGACAUGUUUCAAGAACAUAUCGGAACCACCGACCAAGAGUUGUCGUAGGAGGACAACGAUUAAUGCUGGAAUCUAUGCUCCUCCUGAACGUGAUCACAUCGUAAGUUAUAUGCCGUUUUCUGAAAUGAAGUUCUAAGAAUUCUUAUAAAAAAUAUUUCUUUUUGGGUGUGGUAGGCUUUGGCAUUGGGUAUGGCAUACCAAUCUGUUACCGAUGCCCAUAAAAAACGACCGCCUAUCGAUGAUCUUGGACCGGAUGACUCGAUACCAAAUCCGCCUAGAGCUAUAAUCCCUCCCCGAAGGUUACACAUACACGAAUGAAUUUUUAUUUUAUUUUUCCGUAGCUUUUGUUAUGUUAGGAUAAUAAUCAGCUCAAUGUUGUGUGUCUUGUUAGUACGAAGUUUAAAAUAUAUUGCGAAGUUGUGGUAACAUAUUGUUUCUGUCCCAAUGAGUUUUCAAGCCACAACGCAGUGGUGUAUUCGUUUCUUUUGUUUGGUAAUGAAAUGACCAUUUAGUCUGUCCCCUUUUUAAUUUAUUUUAAAGAAAAUUUUGUAAGUACGGACUUGUUGCUAUAAUGGGAAGGUUGAACUAUGCUCUUUACGUUUUUUUUUUCUUUUUACAUCAAGUGUAUCCUAUUUUAAAGUUUUAAUCAUAAAACUCCUCCAAGACUUGUAAAUCCAUGUUCUAUCUUGUGUUGAACCUCAUGGCCACCCUUCCUAAUAUAUUUUUUCUUCCUUUGCGUGCUAUGUUUAUCCAAUGAUGCUGACUAGAGGAAUUUUAUUAGGUAAUUUACAUACUGUUCAGUACCACAAAAUACAUUGAUGCAAAACAGGAUAAAACAUUAGUAGACCCAUUCAAAACAAGAAACCACGAAAGUAGGUCGCUUUAUUUAGACGUGAAUUAACUAUUAAGUUCAUGGACCGGAGACAACACAUCAGUUAGUAGCAGCCGACAUCUUUGGAUCAACGCCAACAUCCUUUAGUGUCACGGCACGAGGCUUAUGAGCGAACUGGUCUUUCCUAAUUGGGUCAGGAAUGACAUCCUGUUUGUCAAACUCUUGGACGUGAGCGAGUUUCCUAAACCACGACCUAUUAGCCAACCUGUCCGCUUCAUUUAUAACUCUAUCCGGAUCUUCAACCUCUGGAACAGUCUCUCUUGUCUUCUUGUUGACACGUACGCUCGGGUUUUCGUGGAGGUGGAGAUACGCUGUGUAGAGUCCAAACGACACCGACAAUGAAAUCAUCCCUAUGGAGACAUAGACUGGCGUGAAAUCACCUUUUGUCCCCGUCGUAGUAGUAGCUGCUCGUCUCUGACCACCGUACUCUGCCGUUGGAGAGUAGGCCUUGGAUUUUGG